rnacentral:rRNA from 1 species
UUCGCAGGCGGUGUGGCAAGUCGGGAGUGAAAUCUCUAGGCUCAACCUAGAGACUGCUUCCGAAACUGCUGUGCUUGAGUGUGAGAGAGGCUCGUGGAAUUGCAGGUGUAGCGGUGAAAUGCGUAGAUAUCUGCAGGAACACCCGUGGCGAAAGCGGCGAGCUGGAUCACUAUGACGCUGAGAACGAAAGCGUAGGGGAGACAAACA